CCUACGGGUGGCUGCAGUGGGGAAUAUUGGACAAUGGGGGGAACCCUGAUCCAGCCAUGCCGCGUGUGUGAAGAAGGCCCUCGGGUUGUAAAGCACUUUCAGUGAGGAAGAACGCCUGGUGGUUAAUACCCAUCAGGAAAGACAUCACUCACAGAAGAAGCACCGGCUAACUCCGUGCCAGCAGCCGCGGUAAUACGGAGGGUGCGAGCGUUAAUCGGAAUUACUGGGCGUAAAGUGCGCGUAGGUGGCUUGAUAAGCCGGUUGUGAAAGCCCCGGGCUCAACCUGGGAACGGCAUCCGGAACUGUCAAGCUAGAGUGCAGGAGAGGAAGGUAGAAUUCCCGGUGUAGCGGUGAAAUGCGUAGAGAUCGGGAGGAAUACCAGUGGCGAAGGCGGCCUUCUGGACUGACACUGACACUGAGGUGCGAAAGCGUGGGUAGCAAACAGGAUUAGAUACCCUAGUAGUC
rnacentral:rRNA from 1 species